AGUCGAACGGUGAACCCCGCUUGCGGGGGGAUCAGUGGCGAACGGGUGAGUAACACGUGGGCAACCUGCCCUCAGCUCUGGGAUAACUCCAAGAAAUUGGGGCUAAUACUGGAUAUGACCGCUGACCGCAUGGUCUGGUGGUGGAAAGAUUUAUCGGCUGAGGAUGGGCCCGCGGCCUAUCAGCUUGUUGGUGGGGUAGUGGCCUACCAAGGCGACGACGGGUAGCCGGCCUGAGAGGGUGACCGGCCACACUGGGACUGAGACACGGCCCAGACUCCUACGGGAGGCAGCAGUGGGGAAUAUUGCGCAAUGGGCGAAAGCCUGACGCAGCGACGCCGCGUGGGGGAUGACGGCCUUCGGGUUGUAAACCUCUUUCAGCAGGGACGAAGCGAAAGUGACGGUACCUGCAGAAGAAGCACCGGCCAACUACGUGCCAGCAGCCGCGGUAAUACGUAGGGUGCAAGCGUUGUCCGGAAUUAUUGGGCGUAAAGAGCUCGUAGGCGGUUUGUUGCGUCGGCUGUGAAAACCUGAGGCUCAACCUCAGGCCUGCAGUCGAUACGAGCAGACUAGAGUGUUGCAGGGGAGACUGGAAUUCCUGGUGUAGCGGUGAAAUGCGCAGAUAUCAGGAGGAACACCGGUGGCGAAGGCGGGUCUCUGGGCAACAACUGACGCUGAGGAGCGAAAGCGUGGGGAGCGAACAGGAUUAGAUACCCUGGUAGUCCACGCCGUAAACGUUGGGCGCUAGGUGUGGGGCUCAUUCCACGAGUUCCGUGCCGCAGCUAACGCA
rnacentral:rRNA from 1 species